UCUUCUUUACGGAAACAA
rnacentral:snRNA from 1 species